ensembl:snoRNA
AUCCUUUUCUAGUUCAUAAGCAUGAUGACUGAGUGUUCACACUCAUGUGUGAGAUCUGCUACCCUCAAACCUUGAAAUCUUCAGUCACUUUUGUUAAGUGAAU